GCCUACGGGGCGCAGCAGUGAGGAAUAUUGGUCAAUGGGAGGAAUCCUGAACCAGCCAUGCCGCGUGCAGGACGACGGCUCUACGAGUUGUAAACUGCUUUUGUACCGGGGUAAAAUGCCUUACGAGUAGGGUUUUGAAAGUACGGUACGAAUAAGGAUCGGCUAACUCCGUGCCAGCAGCCGCGGUAAUACGGAGGAUGCGAGCGUUAUCCGGAUUUAUUGGGUUUAAAGGGUGCGUAGGCGGAUUUUUAAGUCAGCGGUAAAAUGUCCGGGCUCAACCCGGGCCGGCCGUUGAAACUGGGGAU
rnacentral:rRNA from 1 species